rnacentral:lncRNA from 1 species
GCUCUCUACUAUUUAGAGGUCCCAAAAUUUACUACACAUAACCUAUGCAUGUUAAGCAUUCUAAAAUUCAUAUUAAAUACAUUUAACAUGGAAAUGCAUGAAUUUCUAUUUUACGAAACAUAUUUGCCAAAUAUGAGCAUUUUUCAUAUCAUAGGCUAGGUCAAACCCACCGAACCGUCGCGUGCUCCUUCGAAUCACCGAACGGAGUUGUCCACGAGUCUCACAAUACCCUAAAAGUAAUCAGCGAAGAGAUACGAGGGCAUUACGACCAUCCGAGAGAUCAAACAUUAACCUAGGAGCAAAAAUGGCCAAAAUUUACCUCAAGAGUAGAAAUCUCUCCCAAAGCUCCAAAAGAGAGCUAGAACCCUUCCAAUCCAAGCCCUAGGAAGGUUCUAAACCAAUCGAUCUAGCCCCAAAAGCCCUAGAUAAAAAAGCCCCAAAAAUAAGCCCUAAAUCUCAUUCUAGGGUUUCAUCUUCCAAAAAUCACAAAAACAAGAAUCUAGAGGAGGGAAAUAUGAUACUAACCCUUUGGAAGCUUCAAUCCAAGCCCAAAAUGCCCUAGGGUUGAAGUUUGGUCCACCACCAAGCCCUACAAGCAAGCUCCAAGCCUUGCAAAGGUGGGAAAGAGGGAAAGGGGUUGAGCUCCAAGCUCCCUCAAGCUAGCUCCUCUUCUUCUCCUUCUCCUCCUUCUUCUUCUUC